rnacentral:rRNA from 1 species
GUAGGGAAUCUUGCGCAAUGGGCGAAAGCCUGACGCAGCCAUGCCGCGUGAAUGAUGAAGGUCUUAGGAUUGUAAAAUUCUUUCACCGGGGACGAUAAUGACGGUACCCGGAGAAGAAGCCCCGGCUAACUUCGUGCCAGCAGCCGCGGUAAUACGAAGGGGGCGAGCGUUAUUCGGAAUCACUGGGCGUAAAGCGUGCGUAGGCGGUUUUGUAAGUUAGGAGUGAAAGCCCAGGGCUCAACCUUGGAAUUGCUCUUAAAACUGCAAGGCUCGAAUCUCGGAGAGGAUAGCGGAAUUUCCAGUGUAGCAGUGAAAUGCGUAGAUAUUGGAAGGAACACCAGUGGCGUAAGCGGCUAUCUGGACGAGUAUUGACGCUGAGGCACGAAAGCGUGGGGAUCAAACAGGAUUAGAUACCCCGGUAGUCC